rnacentral:lncRNA from 1 species
GCACCGUGCUUUGAUCAGGUCCGCCAGGAUUAAACAGCUAACCGGAUAUAAAUAUUCUGGUGUCUGACGUAAUGACCUUUUUUUCGAAAAGGGGAUUCCCCGGCCUCUGCAUUAGAACGAUGCAUACGGCCAUGUUAAUAACCAAAUAAAGAAGUACCAACAUGAUUCCAAAGGUCUCCAAAAGUAAAAAAAAAAGUACAUAAAGCUCACACAGAGCCAAAUAAAGGCUAGAAACACCAACUAGCCAGGACAAGAUGCCACAACCGGCCGGCUCAAACUAGAUAGGGAAACUAAGUACCUAUCCUAUUACAUGACCGCCAUCCAAACCGGUUGAAGAUAUCCCGAGCUACCAUCUCCCAGCGGAAAGAUCCAGUAACCAAAUGCUCCCUGGCCUCCGUCUGGGUGAGUAGCGACCACGAACGGAUCAGUGCCGUAGUUCGGAAUAUGACCUGCAAAAAAUGUAUACAUGAUAUUCUGUUAAAGACCAAAUCAUUUCUGCAAGUCCAGAUAGUCCACAGCAAAGCACAAACUCCAACCCGAAUAUGUCUCGCUAAACCAGGCUCAAUCCCAUUAAGCCAAGUCCCAAAUAACGCAUUAACAGAAUUCGGUGGAUUGAUAUUAAAAGCAAUGUGGACUGUCUGCCAAAGUACCUUGGCCAACGGGCAAUCAAAAAAGAGGUGUUUGAUAGUCUCAUCCCGAUCGCAGAAACUACACCUAGUAGGUCUUGUUCAAUUACGCUUUUAUCAAGUUGUCCUUAGUUAAAAUAACUUGUUUAUGGACAAACCACAUAAACACUUUUAUUUUCAAAGGAACUUUGACAUCCCAAACAUGCUUAGACGUAGGAAUGGAGUCCGAAUUAAUAACAUCAAUAUACAUUGAUUUAACCGUGAAUACUCCAGACUUAGUCAAUUUCCAACGCAAUUCAUCGGGUUGUUGGGAAAGCUGGACAUCCGUCAGUCUCCUAACUAGACGGAGCCAUUCUUCCCAACGGUUGCCCGCUGGCGUUCGUCGGAACUGGAUAUUAAGGGGGGUAGACUGAAAGACCGAUGCGACGAAUACCUCACGUCGUUGAACAAUGCGGUACAAAGACGGAUAUUGGAUGGCCAGGGGUGUCCCGCCAAGCCAAGUAUCCUCCCAGAAACGUGUACUCGAGCCGUUUCCAAUCACAAACUUCGUCCUAUUAAAUAAGGCCUGUUUGACUUUCAUCAGGCCUUUUCAGAAAGGCGAAUCGGUCGGCCUGACUAUAACCUGGGACAGAGUUUUUGUCUGGAGGUACUUGCUGCGAAGGAUUUGAGCCCACAUAGCAUCAGUCUCCGAUGAGAGCUUCCACAGCCACUGUCUAAGAAGGCAUUUAUUCUUAACUUCUAGAUUCUCAAUACCUAGACCCCCUUGGUCUUUUGGUCUACAGAUGAUAUCCCAUUUAGCAAGCCGAUAUUUUUUUUAAGCUCAUCACCCUGCCAAAAGAAACGCGAUCGAUAGAAGUCCAGUCUCUUCCUAACACCAACUGGGACCUCAAAGAACGAUAGGAGAAACAUUGGCAUGCUCGUGAGCACUGAAUUAAUCAGGAUUAAUCGGCCUCCGUAUGAUAUGAGCUUACCCUUCCAGCAGCUCAGUUUUUUCUCAAAUCGGUCCUCAAUGCACUUCCACUCUCUGUUUGUCAGCCUACGAUGGUGGAUUGGAAUCCCCAGGUAGGAGAAGGGUAACUCUCCCAACUCGCACCCAAACAAUUGCCUAUAAGCAUCCUGUUCAUGUUUGGCCCUACCAAAACAGAACAGCUCGCUCUUAUGAAAGUUAAUCUUUAACCCGGUCAAUUGUUCGAAAAGGCAUAACACAAGCUUCAUAUUACUAGCCUUGGCCAAGUCAUGCUCCAUGAAGAUGAUUGUAUCAUCAGCGUACUGAAGGAUGGAUACACCUCCAUCAAUAAGAUGAGGUACCAAUCCACCUACUUGACCAUUUUCCUUAGCCCUUCCUAUCAAGAUUGCUAAGAUAUCCACCACAAUGUUAAACAAGAUAGGUGACAUCGGAUCUCCUUGUCUGAGGCCUUUAUGUGUCUGGAAGUAAUGACCUAUGUCAUCAUUAACUUUAAUUCCCACACUACCUUUUUGCGCAAAUGAUUCAACAUGUCGGCGCCAGGCCUCAUCAAAACCUUUCAUACACAAUGACUGUUGGAGGAAUGGCCAUUUGACCUUAUCAUACGCUUUCUCAAAAUCCACCUUAAAAAUUACACCAUCUAAUUUUUUGGAAUGGAUUUCAUGAAGUGUUUCAUGCAGGACGACCACCCCUUCAAGGAUAUUUCUGUCCAGCAUGAAAGCGGUUUGGGACUGUUGCACCACAGAAUACGCAAUCUGUGUGAGUCUGUUAGUCCCGACUGAAGGAAAUAUGCCCUAGAGGCAAUAAUAAAGAUAUUAUUUAUUUCCUUAUAUCACGAUAAAUGUUUAUUAUUCAUGCUAGAAUUGUAUUAACCGGAAACAUAAUACAUGUGUGAAUACAUAGACAAACAAAGUGUCACUAGUAUGCCUCUACUUGACUAGCUCGUUAAUCAAAGAUGGUUAUGUUUCCUAACCAUGGACAAAGAGUUGUCAUUUGAUUAACGGGAUCACAUCAUUAGUUGAAUGAUCUGAUUGACAUGACCCAUUCCACUAGCUUAGCACCCGAUCGUUUAGUAUGUUGCUAUUGCUUUCUUCAUGACUUAUACAUGUUCCUAUGACUAUGAGAUUAUGUAACUCCCAUGUGCCGGAGGAACACUUUGUGUGCUACCAAACGUCACAACGUAACUGGGUGAUUAUAAAGGUGCUCUACAGGUGUCUCCAAAGGUACAUGUUGGGUUGACGUAUUUCGAGAUUAGGAUUUGUCACUCCGAUUGUCGGAGAGGUAUCUCUGGGCCCUCUCGGUAAUGCACAUCACUUAAGCCUUGCAAGCAUUACAACUAAUGAGUUAGUUGCGGGAUGAUGCAUUAAGGAACGAGUAAAGAGACUUGCCGAUAACGAGAUUGAAGUAGGUAUUGGAUACCGACAAUUGAAUCUCGGGCAAGUAACAUACCGAUGACAAAGGGAACAACGUAUGUUGUUAUGCGGUCUGACCAAUAAAGAUCUUCGUAGAAUAUGUAGGAGCCAAUAUGGGCAUCCAGGUCCCGCUGUUGGUUAUUGUCCGAAGACGUGUCUCGGUCAUGUCUACAUUGUUCUCGAACCGUAGGGUCCGCACGCUUAAAGUUACGAUGACAGUUUCAUUAUGAGUUUAUGUAUUUUUAUGUACCGAAGGUUGUUCGGAGUUCCGGAUGUGAUCACGGACAUGACGAGGAGUCUCGAAAUGGUCGAGACAUAAAGAUUGAUAUAUUCGGACACCGGAAGUGUUUCGGGGAAGUUUCGGAUAAAACCGGAGAACCGGGGGGUUACCGGAACCCCCUGAGGGGUUAAUGGGCCUCAUGGGCCUAAAGUGGAGAAGAGGAAAGGCAGCCAGGGUAGGCCGCGCGCCCCCUCUCCCCCUAGUCCGAAUUGGACAAGGAGGGAGGGGUGGCGCCCCCCUUUCCUUCCUCUCCUCUCUCGCUUCCUUCCCCCUCUCCUCCUUGGACAAGGAAAGGGAGGGGAGUCCUACUCCCAGUAGGAGUAGGACUCCUCCUGCGCGCCUCCUACUAGGGUCGGCCGCACCCCCCCUUGGCUCCUUUAUAUACGGGGGCAAGGGGGCACCCUAGGACACAGAAGUUGAUCUUCGUGAUCGUUACUUAGCCGUGUGCGGUGCCACCCUCCACGAUAUUACACCUCGAUCGUAUUGUAGCGGUGCUUAGGCGAAGCCCUACGACGGUUAAACAUCAAGAUAGUCACUACGCCGUCGUGCUGACGAAACUCCUCCACCGAAGCUUUGCUGGAUCGGAGCCCCGGGUGCGUCAUCGAGCUGUACGUGUGUUAAGAACUCGGAGGUGCCGGAGUAACGGUGCUUGGAUCGGUUGGACCGGGAAGACGUACGACUACUUCCUCUACGUUGUGUCAACGCUUCCGCGUCGAUCUACAAGGGUACGUAGAUCACACUCUCCCCUCUCAUUGCUAUGCAUCACCAUGAUCUUGCGUGUGCGUAGGAAAUUUUUUGAAAUUACUACGUUACCCAACAGUGGCAUCCGAGCCUAGGUUUUAUGGUUUGAUGUUAUUUGCACGAGUAGAACACAAGUGAGUUGUGGGCGAUAUAAGUCAUACUGCCUACCAACAUGUCAUACUUUGGUUCGGUUGUAUUGUUGGAUGAAGCGGCCCGGACCGACAUUACGCGUACGCUUACGCGAGACUGGUUCUACCGCCGUGCUUUGCACACAGGUGGUUGGCGGGUGUCAGUUUCUCCAACUUUAGUUGAACCAAGUGUGGCUACGCCCGGUCCUUACGAAGGUUAAAACGGCAUCAACUUGACAAACUAUCGUUGUGGUUUUGAUGCGUAGGUAAGAUUGGUUCUUGCUUAAGCCCGUAGCAGCCACGUAAAACUUGCAACAAACAAAGUAGAGGACGUCUAACUUGUUUUUGCAGGGCAUGUUGUGAUGUGAUAUGGUCAAGACAUGAUGCUAAAUUUUAUUGUAUGAAAUGAUCAUGUUUUGUAACCGAGUUAUCGGCAACUGGCAGGAGCCAUAUGGUUGUCGCUUUAUUGUAUGCAAUGCAAUCGCGCUGUAAUGCUUAACUUUAUCACUAAGCGGUAGUGAUAGUCAUGGAAGCAUAAGAUUGGUGAGACGACAACGGUGCUACGAUGGAGAUCAAGGUGUCGCGCCGGUGACGAUGGUGAUCAUGACGAUGCUUCGGAGAUGGAGAUCACAGGCACAAGAUGAUGAUGGCCAUAUCAUAUCACUUAUAUUGAUUGCAUGUGAUGUUUAUCUUUUAUGCAUCUUAUCUUGCUUUGAUUGACGGUAGCAUUAUAAGAUGAUCUCUCACUAAAUUAUCAAGAAGUGUUCUCCCUGAGUAUGCACCGUUGCGAAAGUUCUUCGUGCUGAGACACCACGUGAUGAUCGGGUGUGAUAGGCUCUACGUUCAAAUACAACGGGUGCAAAACAGUUGCACACGCGGAAUACUCGGAUUAUACUUGACGAGCCAAGCAUAUACAGAUAUGGCCUCGGAACACGGAGACCGAAAGGUCGAGCGUGAAUCAUAUAGUAGAUAUGAUCAACAUAGUGAUGUUCACGAAUGAAACUAGUCCAUCUCAUGUGAUGAUCGGACAUGGUUUAGUUGAUUUGGAUCACGUGAUCACUUAGACGGACUGGGUCCGUAACUUGAGGAUUAUCCUCAUUGCUGCACAGAAGAAUUACGUCCUGGAAGCACCGCUAGAUGCCAGGCCUACUGCUGGAGCAACACCAGAUGUUAUGAACGUCUGGCAGAGCAAAGCUGAUGACUACUUGAUAGUUUAGUGUGCCAUGCUUUACGGCUUAGAAUCGGGACUUCAACGACGUUUUGAACGUCAUGGAGCAUAUGAGAUGUUCCAGGAAUUGAAGUUAAUAUUUCAAGCAAAUGCCCGAAUUGAGAGAUAUGAAGUCUCCAAUAAGUUCUGUAGCUGCAAGAUGGAGGAGAACAGUUCUGUCAGUGAGCAUAUACUCAAAAUGUCUGGGUAUAAUAAUCACUUGAUUCAGAUGGGAGUUAAUCUUCCAGAUGAUUGCGUCAUUGACAGAAUUCUCCAAUCACUGCCACCAAGCUACAAGAGCUUCGUGAUGAACUAUAAUAUGCAAGGGAUGAAUAAGACUAUUCCCGAGCUCUUCGCAAUGCUGAAAGCUGCGAAGGUAGAAAUCAAAAAGGAGCAUCAAGUGUUGAUGGUCAACAAGACCACUAGUUUCAAGAAAAAAGGCAAAGCGAAGAAGAAGGGGAACUUCAAGAAGAACAGCAAGCAAGUUGCUGCUCAAGAGAAGAAACCCAAGUCUGGACAUAAGCCUGAAACUGAGUGCUUCUACUGCAAGCAGACUGGUCACUGGAAGCGGAACUGCCCCAAGUAUUUGGCGGAUAAGAAGGAUGGCAAGGUGAACAAAGGUAUAUGUGAUAUACAAGUUAUUGAUGUGUACCUUACUAAUGCUCGCAGUAGCACCUGGGUAUUUGAUACUGGUUCUAUUGCUAAUAUUUGCAACUCGAAACAGGGACUACGGAUUAAGAGAAGAUUGGCUAAGGACGAGGUGACGAUGCGCGUGGGAAACGGUUCCAAAGUUGAUGUGAUCGCGGUCGGCACGCUACCUCUACAUCUACCUUCAGGAUUAGUAUUAGACCUGAAUAAUUGUUAUUUGGUGCCAGCGUUGAGCAUGAACAUUAUAUCUGGAUCUUGUUUAAUGCGAGACGGUUAUUCAUUUAAAUCAGAGAAUAAUGGUUGUUCUAUUUAUAUGAGUAAUAUCUUUUAUGGUCAUGCACCCUUGAAGAGUGGUCUAUUCUUAUUGAAUCUCGAUAGUAGUGACACACAUAUUCAUAAUGUUGAAGCCAAAAAAUGCAGAGUUGAUAAUGAUGGUGCAACUUAUUUGUGGCACUGCCGUUUAGGUCAUAUCGGUGUAAAGCGCAUGAAGAAACUCCAUACUGACGGACUUUUGGAACCACUUGAUUAUGAAUCACUUGGUACUUGCGAACCGUGCCUCAUGGGCAAGAUGACUAAAACACCGUUCUCCGGUACUAUGGAGAGAGCAACAGAUUUGUUGGAAAUCAUACAUACAGAUGUAUGUGGUCCGAUGAAUAUUGAGGCUCGUGGCGGAUAUCGUUAUUUUCUCACCUUCACAGAUGACUUAAGCAAAUAUGGGUAUGUCUACUUAAUGAAACAUAAGUCUAAAACAUUUGAAAAGUUCAAAGAAUUUCAGAGUGAAGUUGAAAAUCAUCGUAACAAGAAAAUAAAGUUUCUACGAUCUGAUCGUGGAGGAGAAUAUUUGAGUUAUGAGUUUGGUGUACAUUUGAAACAAUGCGGAAUAGUUUCGCAACUCACGCCACCCGGAACACCACAACGUAAUGGUGUGUCCGAACGUCGUAACCAUACUUUACUAGAUAUGGUGCGAUCUAUGAUGUCUCUUACUGAUUUACCGCUAUCGUUUUGGGGUUAUGCUUUAGAGACGGCCGCAUUCACGUUAUAUAGGGCACCAUCAAAAUCCGUUGAGACGACGCCUUAUGAACUAUGGUUUGGCAAGAAACCAAAGUUGUCGUUUCUGAAAGUUUGGGGCUGCGAUGCUUAUGUGAAAAAGCUUCAACCUGAUAAGCUCGAACCCAAAUCAGAGAAAUGUGUCUUCAUAGGAUAUCCAAAGGAAACUAUUGGAUACACCUUCUAUCACAGAUCCGAAGGCAAGACUUUUGUUGCUAAAUUGGGAAACUUUCUAGAGAAGGAGUUUCUCUCGAAAGAUGUGAGUGGGAGGAAAGUAGAACUUGAUGAGGUAACUGUACCUGCUCCCUUAUCGGAAAGUAGUACAUCACAGAAAACUAUUUCUGCGACACCUACACCAAUUAGUGAGGAAGCUAAUGAUAAUGAUCAUGAAACUUCAGGACAAGAUACUACUGAACCUCGUAGAUCAACCAGAGUGAGAUCCGCGCCAGAGUGGUACGGUAAUCCUGUUCUGGAAAUCACGCUGCUAGAUCAUGAUGAACCUACGAACUAUGAAGAAGCGAUGGUGAGCCCAGAUUCCGCAAAAUGGCUUGAAGCCAUGAAAUCCGAGAUGGGAUCCAUGUAUGAGAACAAAGUAUGGACUUUGGUUGACUUGCCCGAUGAUCGGCAAGCAAUUGAGAAUAAAUGGAUCUUCAAGAAGAAGACUGACGCUGACGGUAAUAUUACUGUCUACAAAGCUCGACUUGUCGCAAAAGGUUUUCGAUAAGUUCAAGGGGUUGACUACGAUGAGACCUUCUCACCCGUAGCGAUGCUUAAGUCUGUCCAAAUCAUGUUAGCAAUUGCCGCAUUUUAUGAUUAUGAGAUUUGGCAGAUGGAUGUCAAAACUGCAUUCCUGAAUGGAUUUCUGGAAAAAGAGUUGUAUAUGAUGCAACCGGAAGGUUUUGUCGAUCCAAAGGGAGCUAACAAAGUGUGCAAGCUCCAGCGAUCCAUUUAUGGACUGGUGCAAGCCUCUCGGAGUUGGAAUAAACGCUUUGAUAGUGUGAUCAAAGCAUUUGGUUUUAUACAGACUUUCGGAGAAGCCUGUAUUUACAAGAAAGUGAGUGGGAGCUCUGUAGCAUUUCUGAUAUUAUAUGUAGAUGACAUAUUACUGAUUGGAAAUGAUAUAGAAUUUCUGGAUAGCAUAAAGGGAUACUUGAAUAAGAGUUUUUCAAUGAAAGACCUCGGUGAAGCUGCUUACAUAUUAGGAAUAAAGAUCUAUAGAGAUAGAUCAAGACGCUUAAUUGGACUUUCACAAAGCACAUACCUUGACAAGAUUUUGAAGAAGUUCAAAAUGGAUCAAGCAAAGAAAGGGUUCUUGCCUGUGUUACAAGGUGUGAAGUCGAGUCAGACUCAAUGCCCGACCACUGCAGAAGAUAGAGAGAAAAUGAAAGAUGUUCCCUAUGCUUCAGCCAUAGGCUCUAUCAUGUAUGCAAUGCUGUGUACCAGACCUGAUGUGUGCCUUGCUAUAAGUUUAGCAGGGAGGUACCAAAGUAAUCCAGGAGUGGAUCACUGGACAGCGGUCAAGAACAUCCUGAAAUACCUGAAAAGGACUAAGGAUAUGUUUCUCGUAUAUGGAGGUGACAAAGAGCUCAUCGUAAACGGUUACGUUGAUGCAAGCUUUGACACUGAUCCGGACGAUUCUAAAUCGCAAACCGGAUACGUGUUUACAUUAAACGGUGGAGCUGUUAGUUGGUGCAGUUCUAAACAAAGCGUCGUGUCGAAAGCAGCAAACGAAGGAGUCUGGAUGAAGGAGUUCAUAUCCGAUAUAGGUGUCAUACCUAGUGCAUCGGGUCCAAUGAAAAUCUUUUGUGACAAUACUGGUGCAAUUGCCUUGGCAAAGGAAUCCAGAUUUCACAAAAGAACCAAGCACAUCAAGAGACGCUUCAAUUCCAUCCGGGAUCUAGUCCAGGUGGGAGACAUAGAGAUUUGCAAGAUACAUACGGAUCUGAAUGUGGCAGACCCGUUGACUAAGCCUCUUCCACGAGCAAAACAUGAUCAGCACCAAGGCUCCAUAGGUGUUAGAAUCAUUACUGUGUAAUCUAGAUUAUUGACUCUAGUGCAAGUGGGAGACUGAAGGAAAUAUGCCCUAGAGGCAAUAAUAAAGAUAUUAUUUAUUUCCUUAUAUCAUGAUAAAUGUUUAUUAUUCAUGCUAGAAUUGUAUUAACCGGAAAGAUAAUACAUGUGUGAACACAUAGACAAACAAAGUGUCACUAGUAUGCCUCUACUUGACUAGCUCGUUAAUCAAAGAUGGUUAUAUUUCCUAACCAUGGACAAAGAGUUGUCAUUUGAUUAACGGGAUCACAUCAUUAGUUGAAUGAUCUGAUUGACAUGACCCAUUCCACUAGCUUAGCACCCGAUCGUUUAGUAUGUUGCUAUUGCUUUCUUCAUGACUUAUACAUGUUCCUAUGACUAUGAGAUUAUGUAACUCCCGUGUGCCGGAGGAACACUUUGUGUGCUACCAAACGUCACAACGUAACUGGGUGAUUAUAAAGGUGCUCUACAGGUGUCUCCAAAGGUACAUGUUGGGUUGACGUAUUUCGAGAUUAGGAUUUGUCACUCCGAUCGUCGGAGAGGUAUCUCUAGGCCCUCUCGGUAAUGCACAUCACUUAAGCCUUGCAAGCAUUGCAACUAAUGAGUUAGUUGCGGGAUGAUGCAUUAAGGAACGAGUAAAGAGACUUGCCAGUAACGAGAUUGAACUAGGUAUUGGAUACCGACAAUCGAAUCUCGGGCAAGUAACAUACCGAUGACAAAGGGAACAACGUAUGUUGUUAUGCGGUCUGACCAAUAAAGAUCUUCGUAGAAUAUGUAGGAGCCAAUAUGGGCAUCCAGGUCCCGCUGUUGGUUAUUGACCGGAGACGUGUCUCGGUCAUGUCUACAUUGUUCUCGAACCGUAGGGUCCGCACGCUUAAAGUUACGAUGACAGUUUCAUUAUGAGUUUAUGCAUUUUGAUGUACCGAAGGUUGUUCGGAGUCCCGGAUGUGAUCACGGACAUGACGAGGAGUCUCGAAAUGGUCGAGACAUAAAGAUUGAUAUAUUCGGACACCAGAAGUGUUUCGGGGAAGUUUCGGAUAAAACCGGAGAACCGGGGGGUUACCGGAACCCCCCGGGGGUUAAUGGGCCUCAUGGGCCUAAAGUGGAGAAGAGGAAAGGCAGCCAGGGCAGGCCGCGCGCCCCCUCUCCCCCUAGUCCGAAUUGGACAAGGAGGGAGGGGCGGCGCCCCCCUUUCCUUCCUCUCCUCUCUCCCUUCCUUCCCCCUCUCCUACUUGGACAAGGAAAGGGAGGGGAGUCCUACUCCGAGUAGGAGUAGGACUCCUCCUGCGCGCCUCCUACUAGGGCCGGCCGCACCCCCCCCUUGGCUCCUUUAUAUACGGGGGCAAGGGGGCACCCUAGGACACAGAAGUUGAUCUUCGUGAUCGUUACUUAGCCGUGUGCGGUGCCCCCCUCCACGAUAUUACACCUCGAUCGUAUUGUAGCGGUGCUUAGGCGAAGCCCUACGACGGUUAAACAUCAAGAUAGUCACCACGCCGUCGUGCUGACGAAACUUCUCCACCGAAGCUUUGCUGGAUCGGAGCCCCGGGUGCGUCAUCGAGCUGUACGUGUGUCAAGAACUUGGAGGUGCCGGAGUAACGGUGCUUGGAUCGGUUGGACCGGGAAGACGUACGACUACUUCCUCUACGUUGCGUCAACGCUUCCGCGUCGAUCUACAAGGGUACGUAGAUCACACUCUCCCCUCUCGUUGCUAUGCAUCACCAUGAUCUUGCAUGUGCGUAGGAAUUUUUGUUAAAUUACUACAUUACCCAACACCGACCUUGGUGAAAAUUUUGAAACUAACAUUGAGGAGACAGAUCGGCCUGAAUUGCUCAAUUCUCACAGCAUCCGUCUUUUUAGGAAGCAGUGUGAUAGUCCCAAAAUUCAAGUGAAAUAAUUGAAGCUGUCCGAAAAACAGAUCAUGGAACAUAGGUGGUAAAUCCCCCUUAAUAAUGUGCCAGCACUUUUUAUAGAACUCUGCCGGGAAUCCAUCGGUCCGGGAGCCUUGUUGUUUUUCAUCUGUGCAAUACCAUCAAAAACCUCCUUCUCCGAAAACAGGGCAACCAGAAUAUCAUUAUCAGCAGCUGAUAGCUGAGGUACGUUCUCAGUCCUGGACUCAUCGAGGGACACACAAUUAUCCUCCGGAGGUCCAAAUAACUGCUUAUAAUAGUCGGUAAUAUAUGUUUUUAGGUUAUCCUGACCUAAAAUAGUGCCCUCGUCUUGCUCAAGCUGAAAGAUACGCUUCUUUUUGUGCUUGCCAUUAGCUAUCAAAUGGAAGAACUGAGUGUUCGCAUCCCCUUGGACCACUUUGCGGACUUUGGCACGCAAAGCCCACUUCAAUUCUUGUUCGCGAAACAGUUCUUUCAGCCUCUUCUCCGCCUCAUUUCUAGCCUGAAGCUGAGCUGGCGACAAGAUAUUGACUUCGGCCUAUAUGUCCAGGGCCUGUAUAAGAGUAAGGAGUCUAUCCUUUUCAAUCUUAUACACACCACUGAGGUUCUUAGCCCAACCCCGUAAGAAACUUCUUAAAUGCCUAAUCUUAUUCUGCCAACGCUCUAUCGCAUUCUUGCCUCCUACACCUCUAUCCCAUUCCCUGGCGAUCAAGUCCAAGAACCCCUCACAUUCAAACCAACACAUCUCGAAGGAGAAGGUAUUCUUGUUACCCUCAUGGUUCGGCUCCCCUGAGUCCACGAACAAUGGGGUGUGAUCAGAUAUUCCCCUCGAAAGAGCUUGCACCGUAACCAUAGGGAACUUUUGUUCCCACUCCACGCUCGCAAGUACUCGAUCAAGUUUUUCAUAGGUUGGGUUUGGUAGAGCAUUAGCCCAGGUGAACUUUCUCCCAGAAAGCUCUAUCUCUCUCAGAUCCAAGCUUUCAAUAAUGGUGUUGAACAUAAACGACCAUCUGCCAUCAAAGUUAUCAUUGUUCUUCUCCUCUCUCCUCCUGAUGAUAUUGAAAUCACCUCCAACUAAAAUUGGAAGCUGUUCUGACCCACAGAUUCGAACAAGGUACGCCAGAAACUCCGCUUUAAGUUCAGGCUGUGAGGCACCAUAAACCGCCACCAAAGCCCAGUUAAAACCAUCUACCCUAGACCUGACUCGAAACUUGACCACGAAGUCUCCCAUCACGACACUUCGGACUUCAAGCGAAUCGCAUCUCACACCUAGUAAGAUACCACCCGAUCUUCCUCGCGAAGGGAGGCAAUGCCAAUCGAAAUCAAUACCACCCACAAGAGAAGAGAGAAACUGGGGCGCAAAGUUUUCUCUACCCGUCUCUGAUAGAGCAACAAAAUCUAACCUCUGCUCUAGAGCUGCCUCAGCUAGGAAUCUUCUUUUAGCCAAGUCCUUCAGACCUCUGCUAUUCCAAAAAAUUCCACUCAUAGUUCAUCAUGGAAUUUUUUACUAACUCGAAUCCUAGCACUCCUAUGAACUACGGAAUCUGGAUAGAUCUUCCGUUUCCACUUACGCUUAGGUUUACUAGGCUCAGUCACCCGGUCCUCAUAACCGGGUUCACAUAUAUUGCUAGCCUCAUUCUCUAGGGGUACAUCAUCUUCCUCAGAGUCAUGAUUGGGGCGUGCUAGAUCCGCACACAGAUUAUCGAGCACUCUAACCCCUAACGCAUCAAUCUCAUCAUCAUUCAUGACGUAAUGACCUGAUCAUCGUCUUUCAAACAAUUUUCCGCGAUAAGUUGGGCAUGAAACAGGAUGGGCCGCUUUGAUGCCAGGACAAUCAUUUUAGGUUUUUUAGGCUUAUGCCCUUGGUUGGUUCCCACUACUCUUAGAUUUCGGACCUACACAGUUUUACCCUUGUUUCAAUAUAAAACCAUUU